rnacentral:rRNA from 1 species
CUGGGGUACUCGAGUGGCGAACGGGUGAGUAACACGUGGGUGAUCUGCCCUGCACUUCGGGAUAAGCCUGGGAAACUGGGUCUAAUACCGGAUAGGACCAUCGUUUAGUGUCGGUGGUGGAAAGUUUUUCGGUGUGGGAUGAGCUCGCGGCCUAUCAGCUUGUUGGUGGGGUAAUGGCCUACCAAGGCGUCGACGGGUAGCCGGCCUGAGAGGGUGUACGGCCACAUUGGGACUGAGAUACGGCCCAG